AAUUCUUGUUGCUUACUAUAUUCAUUUUGUUUUUGAUUAGAUUUGUAUGUUAAUGAUUUUUGAAUAAAAAUGUUGUUAGCCAACUUUUCAUUUUAACCAUGCACACAUGCACACAAUGCUAUUGCCUUUGGCGACUGACCUCAAACCAAACAGCAAAGCAAAAAUUGCCCAAGAGAAAAAUAGAAUAAAAUUUAAAAAGUUUCCAUAUUUGGAUAUGGGUACCCUGUAUAUAUAUGUAUGGCGACUCCUCAGACCAAUUUUGUGACUGUUUCUUUUGAGUCACAAUUUUGACUGAAAGGGAGUAAAGCACGCAAACAUGACAUUCCUCAGCUCAGACGGAAUGUGGCCCGAUGUAAAGUAAAGAGGGUUCAGGGAUUGCACGUUACCAAUAUUGUUUCGAUACAGACGUGUGGAUUGCAAGUCUCAGGACGCCGCUCAAGCCGAGUAUGACAUUAGUGACAUUUAAAAAAAAUGUAGCAAAUUUGACAUUGAUUGCGUAUAGAAGAGGAAAAUGUCAGUGUUGCGAAAUUGCAAUGUAAACAAGAAAACUUUAAAGCACUCAGCGUUUCCACGAGAUGAUUUAGGUGGGAAAGAAAUUUGAACCAGUGCAUUUGCAUCGUUUUCAGCGAAAGAGCUUGCAAUGUACGAUUUUGGGCCUUGAACACCAUCGUCUCGAAAACGAAAAUCACUUCAUCGGGAGGGGAAGGCCAGGGGUGUGGGCCAAGGACUUGCCGUGUUGUUUUCUUUAAGCAAAAAUCACAUGGAGCAUGCAUUCCCGGUUGCCUCAAAGCCGUCUCGGAUUACACAAUUCUUGUUUGCAAUUGGGACCUCUGCUGAAAUUACUGCUUCCUGUUUUGGGUAGUGCAAACAAUCGGUAACUGCAUAUAAGGGGAUCGCGUUGUUUUCUGUAAAGCAUUUAAUAACAUUAUUUUCGCUAUAGUUCAGUAAUUAGACAUACUGAGAUUACUUUAUUUACUUCGAACAAUGCAAAAAUAAGGAGAAGCGCUAUAUUUCAGUAAUUGUGUUUCGGCCAGAGUUUCGUUUGCUAACGUAGUGUGCAAUAUAGAAAGUGUGCUGAAAUUGUUUACGCAGAUGCGCUGGAGAUCGCAUACGAUUUACUAAACGUGGCAUAGAAAUUGGUUCUGCUAACUUCUUCUGGGCAAUCUCACUUUUGUUUUGUCAAGCAUUAUUGACAAAAGCACAUCAUAUAAUGGAUAUGAAUUGCAUAACUCUUUAAGGAGAAUGAAUUUUUAUAUUUCUCAAUUUUCCAAACUGCUCACGACUUUAACAACAAAAAAUGCUUUGCUAUUAGACCAACAUGUGUUGGGUAUUUUUUUUAUGCUAAAAAUAACAGUUCAUUAAAGUACUGUUGCUCGUGAUUAAAGGUUUCAUUAAAAUUCUAUCAAAAAGAAGAGACUUUAUUUAAAAAAAAAAAAAAUAUAUAUAUAUAUAUAUAGGGUGUAAAACUAGUUUUUGACAAACAUGAAUCUGUAUUAGAAACACUAUAUCAUCGAUUAAUAAAACCGGUCAAGUUGCGAAUGCU